rnacentral:rRNA from 1 species
AUUGAACGCUGGCGGCAUGCUUUACACAUGCAAGUCGGACGAGUGGCGAACGGGUGAGUAAUAUAUUGGAACGUACCGAGUAAUGGGGGAUAACCAAUCGAAAGAUUGGCUAAUACCGCAUACUAUUCGAGCGGCCAAUAUAUGAUUAGCUAGUUGGUGGGGUAAAGGCCUACCAAGGCGACGAUCAGUAGCGGGUCUGAGAGGAUGAUCGGCCACACGUGGACUGAGACACGGCCCAGACGCCUACGGGAGGCAGCAGUGGGGAAUUUUGGACAAUGGGCGCAAUCCUGAUCCAGCCAUGCCGCGUGUCUGAAGAAGGCCUUCGGGUUGUAAAGUACUUUUGUUAGGGAAGCGGUACCUACAGAAUAAGCACCGGCUAACUACGUGCCAGCCGCCGCGGUAAUAC